AUUGAACGCUGGCGGCAGGCCUAACACAUGCAAGUCGAGCGGAUGAAGGGAGCUUGCUCCUGGAUUCAGCGGCGGACGGGUGAGUAAUGCCUAGGAAUCUGCCUGGUAGUGGGGGAUAACGUCCGGAAACGGGCGCUAAUACCGCAUACGUCCUGAGGGAGAAAGUGGGGGAUCUUCGGACCUCACGCUAUCAGAUGAGCCUAGGUCGGAUUAGCUAGUUGGUGGGGUAAAGGCCUACCAAGGCGACGAUCCGUAACUGGUCUGAGAGGAUGAUCAGUCACACUGGAACUGAGACACGGUCCAGACUCCUACGGGAGGCAGCAGUGGGGAAUAUUGGACAAUGGGCGAAAGCCUGAUCCAGCCAUGCCGCGUGUGUGAAGAAGGUCUUCGGAUUGUAAAGCACUUUAAGUUGGGAGGAAGGGCAGUAAGUUAAUACCUUGCUGUUUGGACGUUACCAACAGAAUAAGCACCGGCGAACUGCGU
rnacentral:rRNA from 1 species